GGAUUAGUGGUCAAGUUGGUAAGACACAGCUCUUUCAAUGCUGGGAUCGUGGGUUCGACCCCCACCUAGUCUA
rnacentral:tRNA from 1 species